GCCAAAGAACUUGCGGAAGAAUCUUGCUUAAUUCUUGCGCUGAUGUGUAAACACAGCCGCAAGCGGCUAGCAAUAACUUGCAGCAAUAACUUCUGCAAGCGACUUUCUAGUGUAAACGCAGCUUUAGACUUUGGUCUAACAUUAGUCUGUGCUUUGCAAUGUUGUAAUUGGUCGUCGGUCGAUUUAGAAGUGAAGUUUGUUUGUAAACAAACGAAGAGGUGGUGUGUUAAGAAGUAGGACUUGUGGCCUAUAGUACCAAAUGUCAUUGUUUAUGUGGCAAAAGCAAUACAGUUAACGGAAUAUCAUUUCAAAAAUAUAUUCAUAAAGUGUGCUUCCAGUGAUGUCGAAACGAUCAGUGGUAUGGUCAGCAAAGUUGAUCUUGCAGCACUUCAUCCGAAAAAAGCUGUUCACGAGAGAUCAUAGCAGUUUCUUUUCCGGCGCUAGGAAGUGCGUUUAUAUAAGUAGUGCCUGUUAUGUUGAGGGACGCAGAGAAGAAAGUGCUAUCAGCAAUUUUAAUUCAUCACGAGUAACAACUCAACAAAGUCCACAGGAGCUCCUUAUCCAAAAUGCAGUGAGCAGAGAUGAGCCUCUCACACUGGAGGAGUGGUCGUCAUUAUGCGAGGAAAUACUGGUCAGCAAAGGCAGACUGAAACCUACAACACUGGCUGCAUAUAUAAUGUCACAGUGUGUCAGAACCAGUAAUCUAAAAGUGGGUCUAUCGUUGCUGACAUACCUGGAAUCCACAGCUUCUGGACCAAACCUUGCGACAUUAAGUGCUUUCUUCAAGCUUUGGCAUGCUUGUGGAGGAAGUUAUGAAGAAAAGGAAAUGUUGUCACGAUAUGACAACUUGAGAAAACAGUAUCCUCUGUUAGAUGCUGCUACAUCUGAAAGUGCUGCAAUGGCACUUUCACGUACUUCGAGGUGGCAAGAUGCUUUUGAACUACUGGAUAUGAUUAAGCUGACCCACCAUCCUAAAUCUGCUGUUUACACUUCCUUGGCUGUUGCUGCAUUUCGUAAUGGAAAUAAUGAACUUGCCCACUCAGUCAUGGAGGAAAUAUUUGAACGGGAUGAUAGACGACCGGGUCCUGAGGCCUAUUUGGCUUGGCUGCAGCACAGUGAUCCAGAAGAACUGUUACAAUUUAUUGCAACCCAUGGAGAAAAGCCUACUGACGAAGUAGUGUGUGCUUUGUCUGAGAAGCUGGAAGCUGACAGAGGAUUUCAAGCAAAUUUUACAACUGUAAACAAGAGGGGCAUUUGCCAGACAUGUAACAAUCAGUUGACACCACAGCUUCCCACACCAACUGAAUAUAAGCAGUUACAGGUGGCAAUGUUGGACCGGGUUUUACUAUCGGAUGAUGUAUUUCUUAAGACAUCACCUAAAGAGGUUGUUCACUUUCAAGACAUGUUAAAGAAGAACAGAACUUGGGAUGUAGUAAUAGAUGGCCUGAAUGUGGCAUUUGCUAGUGGCUCUUCUUCUAGUAGCAGUCAUGCCAAGCUGCUUUUUCUUGUAGUGGAACAGUUCUGGCGGCAAGGGAAAAAAGUGCUUGUACUUGGUCGCAAACACAUGAAAAACUGGCCCAAAAGACAGAUGGAAUCACUUUCUAAUUGUGCUCAGUUGUUUCUAGCUGACAAUUUAUCACAGGAUGAUCCUCUUGUACUACUAGCAGCACUACACAGUGGGCUUGGAACAAAAAUUGUUUCACGAGAUCUAAUGCGUACACACAUGUUCCUGCUGAAGGACAAGGAGCUUCGCAGUAUUUUUAGGCGCUGGCAGUAUUCACAUCAAUGCUUCUUUGAAAUUAAAAAUAAUGGAAGAGUUGUAAUUAAGGAUCCAUUGCCAUUCCACCCAUUUGCUCAGCAUCAUCAUGAUGGUUCAUGGCAUCUGCCUUAUGAGGUCCCAGGCUCAUCCCCAAAUAAGAGAUAUAAUCAUUUGGAAGUCCCAGAACAUUGGUUGUGCCUCUCAAAAGUAUAGGCUGGAAAGGAGUCACGAGCAUCGACAAGUGUUAGCCGCUCACGCCACGGAAGUCGCAUUGGAAGACCAAGAAGUCUCAACCUGUGCAGUAUCUCAAGCAAGGGUGGCACGAGAGGCUUGUGCUCACCCUUCUUCUUACUUCCUUUUGCCGAUACCUGCAUCAGUGCAUCUGAAGAACCCUGAAAUGGUCAUAGGUGUCAAACAUGAACCAGUGCCAUUCUACAAGGUGUACAACUUUGCUUCUGCCGUUUGCUGAUAAGUGGCGACAAUGGAGGUGUUACUGUUUUGUUUCAAUAUGAAGAAAACAGCGCUUGAGCCUCAUCGAAUGCUCUCAAGUACAUGUGGUAAGGACGCUAUUAGUGAAAGAACAUGUCAUAAGUGGUUUCAACAUUUCAAGAACGGUAAUUUUAGCACCAUAGACCGGCAAAGUGGUGGACAAGAGAAUGUUUUCGAAGAUGCAGAAUUGGAGACAUUGCUGAGUGAAGACUCGCGUCAAAGAUGGAAAGACUGCCCUGUUGUUGAGAUAUUUUCUGACUGCACUGCCCCCAUUUCUGUUUUAUUUUUACAGGAUAUUUAUUUGGUUGUCAAGUUUGUAAGUGGUACAAAGCUACUUUAAUUUGGGUUGUUUACUCACUUGUUACUGCUGCCUAAAUAUCAAAUUGGUGGACUGCAUCUGUUUGUCGUUAUUUUAGUUUGUCUGUAUCAUAUUUAUCCGAGUAUAAGAUGACCCCCAUUUUUUAAGAGGCUCCUUGAGAAAAAAUUAUUUUUAACAUAUUCUGACUAAUCAAAAUAACAAAUUUUUAUUGACUGUCUAUAUUUUGAUAGUACAAGGCGAAAUAAACAAAAAGUUUACAGUAAUUUUUUUUAUCUUUGGUGCCUUUUUUGUUUAGUUAGCCAGUCGCGUGGGGUAUCACUAUUUUUAAUCACCACACCACCCGAACAGGACAGCUGUGAAACUUAUAUCUUUGUUUGUCCCGAAUAUGCAAUGAUUUCUAAGGUUGUGGUUACAGUGGUACCUGAGAAAACAGCUGUUUUUAUCUGAAUAUAUAUCAGAUUUCACUUUGAUACUGACAUGAGAAUGUUACAACUCAUUGUCUGCCCACCACUUUAUUAUCAUAGAACCAGCAGCUGACUUAUCCCCAGUCAUUCCUGUCAUACCCCACGGUGAGCAUCAACAACAUUGCUGCACAAAACAUUUAAGUACAGCACUAGUUCCGAUCUAUACUUUUACCGUACCAAUUCAAUUCGAAUCCGUGGUUCAUAAAAAGUCAAAGCAUGCAGUGUAGUUUCCCAUGGUUGCCAGCACAACGAAAUUUGCUGCCUGCUCAACACUCCCUUCCUGGCACCCAUCAUAGUUUUCACUUCACAACCAAGCUAGUGUCACUGUUCCCCCUCCACCCAUGUGCUUGAGCAACAGUGAAACACGGGUGGCAAUAUCUUCUAGGCUGCAGCUCACAUGUAACAACAAAAGCUAAUACAUAAGUAAAAGGUCGCAUUCAUGAUUCAGUCCAAUUCAAACUUUCACUCCUCCCAUGAUCUAGGUACUAUCUCCACAACAGGUCUUUCCGCGUAAUUUAUUCUUGCGAUAACAAUGCAGUCAGUAUAAUGUGAUUUAUUUCGUUUGUUAGACAUUUAAUUCUGGAUUCAUUUUCUUUCUCAUUUCAUCUGAAUGUCACCAUCUUGUUCUAAAGCUGGUAACGUUUUUCCCGUUUCUAAGAAAUGAAUAGCGACUAAAUUUUUCACUUGCAAUCCACUUGGUAAAUCAUUACUGUUUUUCAUAACCAAAUAAAAUAUUGACUUGGGCUCAGAAUCAAGUAACGGUUUUUGAAGGAUGAUUUUCACCUUUGAAUAUUACCUUUAUUUAAAAAGUGCCAUAACUGUAAGUACACGGCAUCCAUACACAUAGGAGAACGUUUUAUUGAACAUCUGCUCAAAUACAAAAAAAUUCUCCUGUGUUCCACAAAAUUGUCAGUUUUUAAGCAGAACAUGACAUUGUUUUAGUGGCCAGUUCAUAGUUUCUCCAGUAUUUUUUGCACUAUAGCUAUGAGCAACCUACCAUUCAGAAUUUGUCAAAAUAAAUUUCUACAAAAACUUUAAACAGCCAAAGCUUCAUCUGUAAGUGUAAGACAACCUGUAUA